UUGCCUCCCAUGCAGCGCUUUGUUUAACGUCGGUUAGCUCGACUUCUUAACCCUUUAGAUUAGUAUGGUGCCUCUUCCAAACUCACGUCCUUAAAAUUAUGUCCAACAUCCUUAGGUCUCCAUUUAAACAUGUCAAACCAUCUCAUAGGUGUUUUCCUUUUUCUUUUCUUUUUCUUGGAGGCAAACGGAGAUGUUUUAUUUUGGAAGAUAUUACUUUCUGGGUGGGCUUUUAGUAUGUCGGG
rnacentral:lncRNA from 1 species